rnacentral:rRNA from 1 species
UACGGAGGAUCCAAGCGUUAUCCGGAUUUAUUGGGUUUAAAGGGUGCGUAGGCGGAUUGAUAAGUUAGAGGUGAAAUGUCCGAGCUCAACUCGGGAACUGCCUCUAAUACUGUUGAUCUAGAGAGUAGAUGCGGUAGGCGGAAUGUAUGGUGUAGCGGUGGAAUGCGCAGAUAUCGGGAAGAACACCGAUGGCGAAGGCAGCCUGCUGGGCCGUCACUGACGCUGAGGCGCGAAAGCUGGGGGAGCAAACAGG